rnacentral:sRNA from 1 species
GCCACGCAUGGUGGCUCAUGCCUGUCAUCCCAGCAAUUUGGGAGGCUGAGGCAGGAGGAUAGCAAGUUGGAGGCCAGCCUCAGCAAUUUUAGCUGAGGGCUUAAGCAUCUUAGCUACACCCUGUCUCAA